rnacentral:misc_RNA from 1 species
AGAGUAAAAUAGUACGUGAAAUUGUUGAAAGGGAAACGAUUGAAGUCAGUCGUACCGACGAGAAAUCAGCUCUUCGAGUGCGAACUUGUGGGCGUUCGUGAGUCUUUAACGGGCCUCGCUGUUUGCAAUGUUUGUGCUUCUUGGGUGUAUUUUUUCGUAUGGUAGGCCAACGUCAGUUUCGAUUACCAUAAAAUGAUCGGAGGAAUGUAGCUUCGAUCUCGUAUUGAAGUGUUAUAGCCUCUGGUAGAUGUGGUGACCAAAACUGAGGAUUGCAACGAAUACCCUUUGGGCUAUCCGUCUGACCUCUGAAAGUUGCUUAGGUGCCGAAAGCUUGCUUACGGUCAUUUAAGUUGACGGUCAAAAGGUUAGAACGUGAUUACAUUCGUUAAGGACGUUGGCGUAAUGGCUUUAAACGACC